GAUGAACGCUGGCGGCGUGCCUAAUACAUGCAAGUCGAGCGAACAGACGAGGAGCUUGCUCCUCUGACGUUAGCGGCGGACGGGUGAGUAACACGUGGAUAACCUACCUAUAAGACUGGGAUAACUUCGGGAAACCGGAGCUAAUACCGGAUAAUAUAUUGAACCGCAUGGUUCAAUAGUGAAAGACGGUUUUGCUGUCACUUAUAGAUUGAUCCGCGCCGCAUUAGCUAGUUGGUAAGGUAACGGCUUACCAAGGCAACGAUGCGUAGCCGACCUGAGAGGGUGGUCGGCCAGACUGGAACUGAGACACGGUCCAGACUCCGACGGGAGGCAGCAGUAGGGAAUCUUCCGCAAUGGGGGAAAGCCUGACGGAGCAAAGCCGCGUGAGUGAUGAAGGUCUUCGGAUCGUAAAACUCUGUUAUUAGGGAAGAACAAAUGUGUAAGUAACUAUGCACGUCUUGACGGUACCGAAUCAGAAAGCCACGGCUAACUACGUG
rnacentral:rRNA from 1 species